UGCAGUCGACGCUCACUUCGGUGAGAGUGGCAGACGGGUGAGUAACACGUGGGAACCUACCUAGGGGUACGGAAUAACUCAGGGAAACUUGUGCUAAUACCGUAUACGACCUCAGGGUGAAAGAUUUAUCGCCCCUAGAUGGGCCCGCGUUGGAUUAGCUAGUUGGUGAGGUAAAAGCUCACCAAGGCGACGAUCCAUAGCUGGUCUGAGAGGAUGAUCAGCCACACUGGGACUGAGACACGGCCCAGACUCCUACGGGAGGCAGCAGUAGGGAAUCUUGGACAAUGGGCGAAAGCCUGAUCCAGCCAUGCCGCGUGUGUGAUGAAGGCCUUAGGGUUGUAAAGCACUUUCGCCAGGGAAGAUAAUGACGGUACCUGGAUAAGAAGCCCCGGCUAACUUCGUGCCAGCAGCCGCGGUAAUACGAAGGGGGCUAGCGUUGUUCGGAAUUACUGGGCGUAAAGCGCACGUAGGCGGCAUUCCAAGUUGGAGGUGAAAUCCCCGGGCUUAACCUGGGAACUGCCUCCAAAACUGGGAAGCUCGAGUCCGAGAGAGGUGAGUGGAAUUUCCAGUGUAGAGGUGAAAUUCGUAGAUAUUGGAAAGAACACCAGUGGCGAAGGCGGCUCACUGGCUCGGUACUGACGCUGAGGAGC
rnacentral:rRNA from 1 species